rnacentral:tRNA from 1 species
GGCGCGCGCCAGGACGCCUUCGGCCUUCUUGCGCAAGGCCGCCAAUUGCUCCGGUGUCGAGCCUUCCGGCACGCGCACCA